rnacentral:tRNA from 1 species
GGUGGCUCAGUGGUAGAGUGCUUGCCUUGCAUGCAUGAGGUCCUGGGUUUUUUCCUCAGCACCA